rnacentral:rRNA from 1 species
GGCUGCCGAAAAUACUGCAGGACUAGGGAGUGGGAGAGGUAGACGGUACUCGGUAGGAAGAGGUAAAAUUCUUUGAUCUAUUGAUGACCACCUGUGGCGAAGGCGGUCUACCAGAACACGUUCGACGGUGAGGGAUGAAAGCUGGGGGAGCAAACCGGAUUAGAUACCCGGGUAGUCCCAGCUGUAAACGAUGCAAACUCGAUGAUGCGUUGGCUUGUUGCUAGCGCAGUGUCGCAGGGAAGCCGUUAAGUUUGCCGCCUGGGAAGUACGUACGCAAGUAUGAAACUUAAAGGAAUUGGCGGGGGAGCACCACAAGGGGUGAAGCCUGCGGUUCAAUUGGAGUCAACGCCAGAAACCUUACCCGGAGAGACAGCAGAAUGAAGGUCAAGCUGAAGACUUUACCAGACAAGCUGAGAGGUGGUGCAUGGCCGUCGCCAGCUCGUGCCGUGAGAUGUCCUGUUAAGUCAGGUAACGAGCGAGAUCCCUGCCUCUAGUUGCCACUAUUACACCCUGGUGUAGUAGGGCGAAUUAGGGGGACCGCCGCAGUUAAUGCGGAGGAAGGAAGGGGCCACGGCAGGUCAGUAUGCCCCGAAACUCUGGGGCCACACGCGGGCUGCAAUGGUAACGACAAUGAGUUCCAAAAUCGAAAGAUAGAGGUAAUCCCUAAACGUUACCACAGUUAUGAUUGAGGGCUGCAACUCGCCCUCAUGAAUAUGGAAUCCCUAGUAACCGCGUGUCAUUAUCGCGCAGUGAAUACGUCCCUGCUCCUUGCACACACCGCCCGUCGUUUCAUUGAAGUUUGCCUUUAGCGAGGUGAUGUCUAAUUGGCAUUAUCGAACUUGGGGUAAGUGACAAGGGAAAAGUCGUAACAAGGUGACCGUAGGGGAACCUGCGGUCG